rnacentral:rRNA from 1 species
UACGUAGGGUGCAAGCGUUGUCCGGAAUUAUUGGGCGUAAAGAGCUCGUAGGCGGUUUGUCGCGUCUGCUGUGAAAACCCGAGGCUCAACCUCGGGCCUGCAGUGGGUACGGGCAGACUAGAGUGCGGUAGGGGAGAUUGGAAUUCCUGGUGUAGCGGUGGAAUGCGUAGAGAUCCGGAAGAACACCGGUGGCGAAGGCGGCUCGCUGGGCAGUGGCUGACGCUGAGGCGCGACAGCGUGGGGAGCAAACAGG